CAAGAUAUAGCAUAAAAUUAAUGCAUUUCAUUUACACUGAAAGGAAAAUUGUGCAAUUCAAUUUAUUUUGA
rnacentral:tRNA from 1 species